AUUGAACGCUGGCGGCAUGCCUUACACAUGCAAGUCGAACGGUAACGGGCCUUCGGGUGCCGACGAGUGGCGCACGGGUGAGUAAUGCAUCGGAACGUACCUUUCAGUGGGGGAUAACGUAGCGAAAGUUACGCUAAUACCGCAUAUUCUGUGAGCAGGAAAGCAGGGGAUCGCAAGACCUUGCGCUGAUUGAGCGGCCGAUGUCAGAUUAGCUAGUUGGUGGGGUAAAGGCUCACCAAGGCGACGAUCUGUAGCGGGUCUGAGAGGAUGAUCCGCCACACUGGAACUGAGACACGGUCCAGACUCCUACGGGAGGCAGCAGUGGGGAAUUUUGGACAAUGGGGGCAACCCUGAUCCAGCCAUGCCGCGUGCGGGAAGAAGGCCUUCGGGUUGUAAACCGCUUUUGGCAGGAACGAAACGGUGCGGGCGAAUACCCUGUGCUAAUGACGGUACCUGCAGAAUAAGCACCGGCUAACUACGUGCCAGCAGCCGCGGUAACAC
rnacentral:rRNA from 1 species